UUUGAAAUAAAAUUAUUUUAUUUAUUUAUUUUAUUUUCUUAACUUCCUUGCUUGUUUCAUUUUAUCGGUGAGAUUUGGGUAGCUUUAGAAAGGGCGUAUAGGAUAGAUUAUUUCUUUCUAUAUGCAUUGUAAUUAAUUCUUUUGUCUUUUAUUAUUGUAUGAAGUGAUUAUGCAAGUUAUUUAAUUGUGUAUGUUUUAUCUAAUGUUGCAAACUUGAGUGAUCACUUAGUAUCAUGUUUAAGGUUUAAAGCACGUAAUAUGGAACUAUAUGUGAUGAUUUGUGCUAUAUGAUAUGUGUAAAUUAACUUUACGCGAAGCAUGUAAUUAUGUGAUUAUUAUAAUGUGUUUAUUUAAUUAUAUUAUUUACUUAAUGUUUGGAUUUUGGAAGGAAUAUAACCAAGGGAGUUAUUUUAUUUAAUUUUCGUGUGCGUAGGAAUGAUUAAAAUUAAAUAAUCAUUUCCUUUAAAAGUGAUUUAUUAGGGGCGAUUGUGUGGCCGUGUCCACCUUUCUACCUUAAUAUAUGUAUUUGAUGAUUAUGAAUGUGAUUUAUUGAACAAGUGAGUUCUCUCGUGUUGAUGUCGGCCUGAGAGUGUGUUACAUUUCUAGGCAGAGAAGGAGGAUGGCUAACAACGAUGCUUUAGAUGAUGCUAUUAGGCUUCUAGCUGAGAACUUGAACCAAAACCGCAAUGAUAAUCCCGAUCCUUCUGGUGAGAUGUUUAAGAAGCUUGCACAAGUCAAACCACCAUACUUUGAGGGAGGUGUAGACCGAACUUUUCUGGAGAAUUGGAUUAGGGAUUUUGAUAAGAUUUUUGCUGCUUUGAAUUGUCCUGUGAAUAUGAGAGUGGAUCAAGCUGCCAUGUAUUUGAAGGAAGAGGCAGAUAUUUGGUGGAGGGAUAAUGGAAACGUGAUUCGUGCUGAGGCUAAUUUUGGUUGGGAGACUUUCAAAACCAAACUUAGGGAGAAGUUCUAUCCACCAUUCUUAAGGAAGCAAAAGGCUCAAGAGUUUAUCAAUCUGCAAAUGAACAAUAUGUCGAUUACUGAGUACUAUAACAAGUUUAUGAACUUGUCGAGGUUUGCUCCUGAAGUAGUGCCUACUGAGGAGUUGAAAGCUCAAAGAUUUGAGCAAGGUUUGACUAAGCAGUUACAAAAGGACUUGGCUGGAAAGACUUUUAAGACUCUUGAUAAGGUGUAUGGGAGAGCAGCGCACCUCUACAGCUUUAAUGUCAGGAGUGCACCUGAGAGUGGGAGUGUUGGAGAAAAGCGUAAGGAUUUUGGGAAUUCGAGUGACCAAGGUAACUUUAAGAAGCCAAGGAACGAGAAUUUCCAGAAUAGGAAUGUUCAAAACAAUGGAGGAUCUUCUAGACCUAAUGGCCAAGUUGAAAGGCAUUACAACUGCAAGAGAUGUGGCAAGGUUCAUCCUGAAAAAGAUUGUGAUGGGAACUUGGUUGUGUGUAGGUUCUGUAACAAGAAAGGCCAUAGGGAGUUUGAGUGUUUCUCCAAACUGAAGCAACAAGGAAAUGGGAACAAGUUUACUCCAACAAGCAAUCAAGGAGAGAAUUCGAAUGGUUAUAAGGGGAAUGGAAAGAACGGAAAUGUUGGCAACAACUCCGUGAAUCAAGGAAAGAAUGUCACUACAGGUCGGUUGUCUGUGAUGAACAAGAAGGAAGCUGAAAGGUCUUCUGAUGUUGUCACUGGGUAGGUUGGAGCCUGUAAAAACAUAUGUUAAAAAGAACAAAAGAGGUUUAGGGGCAGAAAAGUGGAAAAAGAAGGCUUUGCAAUCAUCCACUACAACCACCUCUGGAGAGAAGGAGAAAACUGAGAAAAUGUCAAAAAAAGGAGAAAGCACUCUCUAAAAGGGUGCGGAAAAUGCUGGAUGAAGAAAAGCGCCGGCGAGAGAAUGAAGUUCGUCAAGCAUUCUUCAGAGAGUUUUGGCCAGAGAAUGUCUGACAUUGGGUCAUUAGGACAACUAAUUGCAUGCCCUUAAUUGUUGGCGAUACCAUGUACAGGUCUUCUUUCUUGCAACAGCGCUUGGAAGAUCUCUGGGAAACUUUGAAAAUAAUUGGGGAUCUUGCCUGCACUUGCACGCCGUAAAUAGCCUCACAACCCACACACCCACCUGCUGCACCCUAGAUUAGUACCAAGUACUUGUAUUUUGGGUACUCGUCUUAUGUUCGAUGCUGAUGUGACCUACAAAUAUUUGUACAAUUAUAGUAUUGAUAGCUAGGAUUAAUGAUUUAAUGAGGGUCAAUUGUUUGUAUAUAUGGGAAUUUUUUAUUCAUAUAUUCUAAAUUUUAAAUUAGAUGUUCU